UCCAGUUGAUCGCAUGGUCUUCUGGGAAAGCUUUCGCGGUAUGGGAUGGGGUCGCGUCCUAUCAGCUUGACGGCGGGGUAACGGCCCACCGUGGCUUCGACGGGUAGCCGGCCUGAGAGGGCGACCGGCCACAUUGGGACUGAGAUACGGCCCAGACUCCUACGGGAGGCAGCAGUGGGGAAUAUUGCACAAUGGGCGCAAGCCUGAUGCAGCGACGCCGCGUGAGGGAUGGAGGCCUUCGGGUUGUAAACCUCUUUUAUCGGGGAGCAAGCGAGAGUGAGUUUACCCGUUGAAUAAGCACCGGCUAACUACGUGCCAGCAGCCGCGGUAAUACGUAGGGUGCAAGCGUUAUCCGGAAUUAUUGGGCGUAAAGGGCUCGUAGGCGGUUCGUCGCGUCCGGUGUGAAAGUCCAUCGCUUAACGGUGGAUCCGCGCCGGGUACGGGCGGGCUUGAGUGCGGUAGGGGAGACUGGAAUUCCCGGUGUAACGGUGGAAUGUGUAGAUAUC
rnacentral:rRNA from 1 species